rnacentral:rRNA from 1 species
UACGUAGGGGGCAAGCGUUAUCCGGAAUCACUGGGUGUAAAGGGAGCGUAGACGGCUGAGCAAGCCUGAAGUGAAAGGCGGGGGCCCAACCCCUGGACUGCUUUGGGAACUGUACGGCUGGAGUGCAGGAGAGGUAAGUGGAAUUCCUAGUGUAGCGGUGAAAUGCGUAGAUAUUAGGAGGAACACCAGUGGCGAAGGCGGCUUACUGGACUGUAACUGACGUUGAGGCUCGAAAGCGUGGGGAGCAAACAGG